UUUUCUGCCAAAAGAAGUCUCAGGAUGGGCAUCAAAGUCCUUACUGAACAGACGAUGAGAAAAACAAGGAUAGGGUCUUUUUCUCGGGAUGUGAAUGUUACUGUGUUUUGAAGAAAUGAGAAUCUAUGUUGUUCUAAGAGGUUUCAGAGGAUGUCUGGGAAAUAGUAAAUGGAGUUGAUGAAUAGCGAGUUGUCCCAGUUCAGACUGUUUUCCUCCCAUUUUAUGAGAAUGACAUGAUGAUGGUUUUUGUUGGUUUCUUUACUCUGCACUUGGGUCAGUCGCCUUGAUUUCAGCUAAGAUCCUCUCUUCCUG
rnacentral:misc_RNA from 1 species